CCUACGGGAGGCUGCAGUGGGGGAUAUUGCACAAUGGGGGGAACCCUGAUGCAGCGACGCCGCGUGGGUGAAGGAGUAUUUCGGUAUGUAAAGCCCUAUCGGCAGGGAAGAAAUUGGACGGUACCUGACUAAGAAGCCCCGGCUAACUACGUGCCAGCAGCCGCGGUAAUACGUAGGGGGCAAGCGUUAUCCGGAUUCACUGGGUGUAAAGGGAGCGUAGACGGCCAUGCAAGCCAGGGGUGAAAGCCCGGGGCCCAACCCCGGGACUGCCCUUGGAACUGCAUGGCUGGAGUGCGGGAGGGGCAGGCGGAAUUCGUGGUGGAGCGGUGAAAUGCGUAGAUAGCAGGAGGAACACCGGCGGCGAAGGCGGCCUGCUGGACCGCGACUGACGUUGAGGCUCGAAAGCGUGGGGAGCGAACAGGAUGAGAUACCCUAGUAGUC
rnacentral:rRNA from 1 species